rnacentral:lncRNA from 1 species
ACGAGUGGGAUAAAACCCCAAAAGUUUAUUAAACCGGAAAUGAAAAGAUUGAAAUUUAAAUAGGGUGAACCGAUAAGGUGAUGACAGCUUGUGAACCUGUCACACUACUCCCCGUUUCAGAGCAUCCUUGAACUUGGAGAUGAAGUCUUGAUAGAACUCCCAAGUAGCUUGAUCUGAGCUUAACCCUUUCCACUGCACAAGGACUUUGGUGACUGCUGCGUUGCGGUGCUUUACCAUCUUCUUUUCCAGGAUGCAUUCAGGUUCCUUUGCGUUACCCAGAUCCUGAUAGUAUUGAGGCAACGUAGGAGUAUCUGUCGGAGGGUUAGGGCAGAGCUUGAGCUGGCUGACAUGAAAGGUGUCGUGAAUGGCAGUACCAGCAGGUAGAUCGAGCUUGUAAGCUAUUGAGCCAACCUUUUCGAGAAAGCGGAAUGGACCAUAGAAGCGGGGUGAAAGCUUGUGUGGCACGUUUUGGUUCUUGAGAGAGUGUUGACGGCAAUGUUGGAGCUUCAGAUAAGUGUGAUCCCCCACCUUGAGUUCUCUGUGAGAUCUGUGAGAAUCCGAUGAUUGCUUCAUGCAAUUCCGAGCCCGAAAUAGGUGAAAUUUCAGCAUGUUGAUGAUCUCCUCGCGUUUCUGCAUACUGAGAUCAAUAACUGCAGAUGAGCUCUCUCCAGGCAGGUACGGGAGGUGUGUUGGUGGGACCUGACCGUAGAUGAUCUCGUAAGGAGUACACUUGAUUGAGGAGUGGUAAGUGGUAUUGUACCACCAUUCAGCCAGAGGAAGCCAUUUUGACUAGGACUGAGGCGUCUCUGCUGUCAUACAACGAAGGUAUGUCUCGAGUGUCUUGUUAGUGGCCUCGGUUUGACCAUCUGUCUGAGGGUGGUAUGCGGUGGAAUGUUUAAGAUCCACCCCUGCACUCGAAACAACUCUUUCCACACGUCGCUAAGGGACGUAGGAUCUCUGUCACUGACAAUAUCUCUCGGCAUGCCAUGGAGUUUGAAGAUGUUAUCCAGAUAUACCUGAGAAACCUCAAGAGCUGUGUAUGGAUGUGACAGUGCCAAGAAAUGGGCAUUCUUGCUGAGCCUGUCGACGACAACCAGAAUGCAGUGUUUACCACUCGACGGAGGAAGACCUUCGAUGAAAUCCAUGCUAAUGGACUCCCACACACCGUCGAGAACAGGUAGUGCUUGUAGGAGACCUGGCUUAGCCGCUAAGUCGUUCUUGUUCUUCUGGCACACUCCGUAGUUUCUUAUGUAGUGUUGUAUCUCCACAUUCAUCCUUGGCCAAUAGAAUAGCGACUUAAUACGCUGCAAGGUAGCAUCUCUGCCAGAAUUUCCCCCAAGAGCCGAAUCAUGAAGCCAUCACAGUAUGUGAAGCUUUACCUCAGCGUUGUUACCCACAACAAGUUUUCUCUUGCGUCGCAGUUCAUCAUUUGCAAAAUAGAAGGGCGGGUGUGAGUCUUUAUUGGUCUUCAACUCAGAGAUAAUCUUGCUCAAGGUAGGGUCAGAGCUCCACAAUAGUCUGAGGGAGUCGUUGAAACUGUGAUGGGGCUGAGAUAGCGUGAUCUGGAGGAGCUGAGAACCUGUGACUCUUGAUAACGCGUCUGCUGCGACAUUCUCUUUACCUUGCUUGUAUUGUAUUUCGAAUGUGUACCCCAUGAGUUUUGAUAACCACAUAUGCUGAAACGGUGUAGUUAUCCUCUGUUCCAUCAGAUAUUUCAGGCUUUUCUGGUCUGUUUUGAUGAUGAAAGGCCUUUGAGCAAGGUAGGCGUGCCACGUUUGCACCGCAUGGACCACGGCAAGCAAUUCCUUUUCGUAGACAGAGAGGGACUGAUGUCGAGGACCCAGAGCUCUGCUGAUGUAGCAUAUGGGGUGGUUAUCUUGCAUCAACACGGCUCCAAUACCGGUGUUUGAAGCAUCCGUUUCCACUGUAAACUGCUUCUCAAAAUUUGGUAGCGCUAAGACCGGUGAGGUUGAUAACGCAGUCUUAAGCUCCUGAAAAGAUGUGCUUGCUUCAGUGUUCCAAGUGAAGCCAUCCUUCUUCAGGCGGUUUGUUAGUGGUCGUGCCACUACGCUGUAGUCUUUAAUAAAUCAACGGUAGUAGCUUGCUAAGCCAAGGAAGCUUAUGAGUUGCUUAUGCUUAGUUGGUAUCGGCCACUGCACUAUUGUCUUGAUCUUGCUUGGAUCCGUACUCACGCCUUCUCCGGAUAUAAAAUGUCUAAGAUAUUCGAUGACAGUAGCGCCAAAGGUACAUUUUGAGGGUUUGAGGUACAGCUGCUCUCGUUGAAGAAUCUGAAAGACCUCACGGAGGUGUUGAAGAUGAUCUUCCCAACAGGAGUUGUAGAUCAAAAUGUCGUCAAAGAAGAUGAGAAGGAACUUUCGCAGAACGCCUUCGAAUAUACGGUCCAUUAGGCUUUGAAACGUGCAAGGAGCGUUGGUGAGACCGAAGGGCAUUACUAGGUUUUUCGUAAGGACCUGAGUGUGUCUUGAACGCUGUCUUGUAGAUGUCAUCAGGUGACAUGCGAAGCUGGUGGAAUCCUGCUCGAAGAUCCAACUUGGAAAAGUACUUAGCGCCUCCAAGCUCAUCAAGCAAGUCCUCAGUAGUGGGAUAGGGUAUUUAUCUUUGAUGGUCUGUUUGUUUAGUCCAUGGAAAUCCAAACAGAGUCUCCAUGUGCGUCUUUCUUUUUGACGAGGACCACUGGAGAGGCAUAAGGGCUUGAGCUACACUGAAUGAUGCCUUGGCUUAACAUAUCACGGAUCAUCUUGUCAAUGACAUCUUUCUGGAGUGUUGAGUAGCGGUAGGGUCUCAAGUUAACUGGAUUAGCUCCUGAUUCCAAGGGGAUUUGAUGAUAAAAGUCGCCUCUGGAAGGGGGAGGCUCCAUAGGUUCUUCAAAGAUGAUUGAGAAGUCGCGUAGGAGCUCCUGUAGAGCCGGAUCAUCGACCAUUUGUUAUCACAUGCGGUGAUGUGAGACAAUAAGGAGCAGGGGUCCAAGUUGUCAGCUUGUUCCUCUGUUAUUAUGUCUCUCACCUGAAGCAAGGUUAUUUGAGGUUGCUUCGACAACAGCUUGUCCAACGUGCCCCCUUUGAUGACUUUGCAACCGUCUUUGGUGAUUCCACGCAGCACAUUCUUUUGACCAUUGAGUGUGAACUCCAUUCUCGGGUUGAGGAAGUCCCAAAGAAUAGGGCCUAACGUUGAAAGCCAUUGUAAGCCCAGUACUAAGUCGCAGCAAUCAAGUGGUAGUGUACUGAUCUCGGAAGAAUAAGAGUACCCUUGAAACUUCCAGGAGAAGUUACUGCAUUUGCCAGCACAGUACUGCCCCUGCAGCUGUGACAGCCAAGGGUUUAAUCUUUUCCAGUAAGCAACCCAUCUCGUGAGCGACGUUGAUAUCCAGGAAGUUGUGAGUAAUGCCAUUAUCAAUCAGUAUGUAUAGAUUCGCUUUCCAUAUUGACCUAUGACUCGCAUGCAGUUGAACGUUGAUGAACCGUUGAGUGCGUUAACGGAGAUCACCGGUGUGCUCUCUUCUUUGAUUGUAGCUACAGCCGUGAGCUGAUCAUCUGGUUCAUCAUCUGACUCAGAGAAGCUUAACUCGUCGUCAUCACACUCCAUGACAUAGAUCUGAGAGCGUUUGUGUUUGGAGCUGUGUCCCGGUGUGUAUACUUCAUCACAAAAUAUACAUAGCCCUUUUGCUCUCCUAUCUUGCAUCUCCUGGUAACUGAACUUACGAGGUUGUUUCUCUAUGUUUGUGAGAAAGGUGGGUACUUUAGGGGUGGUUUUUUGUGUGGUUGGGGUGGGGAGAAGGGGAGGGUUUGUGGUGUUUUUGUGGUAGGGUUGGAAGUGUUUCUGGUUAGGAUUGAAGGGAGCUUUGGGUUGUUUGGAGGGUGUGUGGGUGAGGGAAGACUCGUGAAGGGAGGCGAUCUUUGCAGCUCCUGCAAUCGUUGUAAACUCAAACUGUCUAGUGUGGAGUGACAGAUGAGUGUUCAAGUUUGCGAGGAAGAUGCUAAUGGCGUGGGCCUCAUGAAGAGUAAUUCACAUUCGAGCAGUUUCGAACUUGUCUAGGAACUCAACUACCGAAUCUGAACCCAGCUUCAGAGCCACUAUCUCGGCCAAGGGGUCGUUGUAUAGCUCACUAAAGCAACCAGCGAUAGCUAAAACGUACUCAGUCCAUGAAGGGAACAUACCAAAGUGAGUGCUCAUGAAGUUGUGGUGCCACUGGUUUGCUUUGCCUUUGAGAUGCAGAGCUGCCAAUCGGACCUUUAGCUCCGGCGGUGUACCGUUGAUAUCAAAGAACUGUUCGCACUUAGAGAUCCAGUCCCGGAUAAGGGAGCCAUCGAAUGAUGGGAACCGAAUCUUCGAAAGACGAGAUGAUAAGGCGUUAUUGUGAGGUGUGGUACGGUUGGUGGCGUAUCUGUCGGGUAGAUCUGGUGGGUCUGGUGGUUGGAAUGGGGUGCAGUUGUUUGGGGUGGGAGGGGCCAGGAUCCAUUGGGGCUUUACCCGCGGCUUGAUGGGGUGAGAAAGAGUUGAACAUCAUUGCCUCGAGUCUGUCGAAACGAGGGUUGAUGGAUUCGUUGUUGGCUUUCACUUCAGCGGCGAGGUUGGUGUGGAGGGAUCGCAUCUCGUCGACCUAUUCAGUCAGAGAUCUCUCCUGAAGACGCAUUUCUACCAUGGUGGUCGAGGAUCGAGCGAAUCUGAUACCAAUGUAACAGGAGGGUUAGAACAGAGUAACCAAAACCCAAUCUAGAGUUCACCAAGAACUUAAGAUAGGAGAAAUCAGGACUAGAAAGUGAUCUGAAUAGAAUGAUCACCUUGAAGACUCAAAUCUCAGUGAUAAAGCAGCUAGCUUGAGAGCUUUAGCGAUAGAGAUAAGAAGAAGAUAAUGAUGAAAUGAUUUUCUGAUUAUUCUGCAAGUUGUGGUCAGCCAGUACAUAAAGGGGAUCACAAACGGUCACAUACGACUCAUUUGAUGACUACAAAAGACAAUAACUAGUGGGACAAAAACCCCAAAAGUUUAUUAAACCGGAAAUGAAAAGAUUGAAAUUUAAAUAGGGUGAACCGAUAAAGUGAUGACAGCUUAUGAACCUGUCACAGGAAGCGAGCCGAGAAGAAUAGAUUUAGAUUCGCGUCUCUUCUAGAUCGAAAUCGAUUCGCCUUAGAAUCAGAGAGAUUCGAGUAAAACAAGAGUGAUAAUCAGAUGCCCGUAUGUGUAAGCUACUAAUAGCAGCCAUUGAUGAAGAAAAAAAGAAUUUGUCACAGACCAAAACUUGAUUCAAGCUUUAAUGGAGGAAGAAGAAGAGAAUAAGAUGUCGAUGGGAUAUAUAUCUGUUUUUUUUAUUAAAAAAUUG